AAAUUGAAGAGUUUGAUCAUGGCUCAGAUUGAACGCUGGCGGCAGGCCUAACACAUGCAAGUCGAGCGGAAACGAGUUAUCUGAACCUUCGGGGAACGAUAACGGCGUCGAGCGGCGGACGGGUGAGUAAUGCCUAGGAAAUUGCCCUGAUGUGGGGGAUAACCAUUGGAAACGAUGGCUAAUACCGCAUGAUGCCUACGGGCCAAAGAGGGGGACCUUCGGGCCUCUCGCGUCAGGAUAUGCCUAGGUGGGAUUAGCUAGUUGGUGAGGUAAGGGCUCACCAAGGCGACGAUCCCUAGCUGGUCUGAGAGGAUGAUCAGCCACACUGGAACUGAGACACGGUCCAGACUCCUACGGGAGGCAGCAGUGGGGAAUAUUGCACAAUGGGCGCAAGCCUGAUGCAGCCAUGCCGCGUGUAUGAAGAAGGCCUUCGGGUUGUAAAGUACUUUCAGCAGUGAGGAAGGUGGAUGCGUUAAUAGCGUAUUCAUUUGACGUUAGCUGCAGAAGAAGCACCGGCUAACUCCGUGCCAGCAGCCGCGGUAAUACGGAGGGUGCGAGCGUUAAUCGGAAUUACUGGGCGUAAAGCGCAUGCAGGUGGUUUGUUAAGUCAGAUGUGAAAGCCCGGGGCUCAACCUCGGAAUAGCAUUUGAAACUGGCAGACUAGAGUACUGUAGAGGGGGGUAGAAUUUCAGGUGUAGCGGUGAAAUGCGUAGAGAUCUGAAGGAAUACCGGUGGCGAAGGCGGCCCCCUGGACAGAUACUGACACUCAGAUGCGAAAGCGUGGGGAGCAAACAGGAUUAGAUACCCUGGUAGUCCACGCCGUAAACGAUGUCUACUUGGAGGUUGUGGCCUUGAGCCGUGGCUUUCGGAGCUAACGCGUUAAGUAGACCGCCUGGGGAGUACGGUCGCAAGAUUAAAACUCAAAUGAAUUGACGGGGGCCCGCACAAGCGGUGGAGCAUGUGGUUUAAUUCGAUGCAACGCGAAGAACCUUACCUACUCUUGACAUCCAGAGAACUUUCCAGAGAUGGAUUGGUGCCUUCGGGAACUCUGAGACAGGUGCUGCAUGGCUGUCGUCAGCUCGUGUUGUGAAAUGUUGGGUUAAGUCCCGCAACGAGCGCAACCCUUAUCCUUGUUUGCCAGCGAGUAAUGUCGGGAACUCCAGGGAGACUGCCGGUGAUAAACCGGAGGAAGGUGGGGACGACGUCAAGUCAUCAUGGCCCUUACGAGUAGGGCUACACACGUGCUACAAUGGCGCAUACAGAGGGCAGCCAACUUGCGAAAGUGAGCGAAUCCCAAAAAGUGCGUCGUAGUCCGGAUUGGAGUCUGCAACUCGACUCCAUGAAGUCGGAAUCGCUAGUAAUCGUGGAUCAGAAUGCCACGGUGAAUACGUUCCCGGGCCUUGUACACACCGCCCGUCACACCAUGGGAGUGGGCUGCAAAAGAAGUAGGUAGUUUAACCUUCGGGGGGACGCUUACCACUUUGUGGUUCAUGACUGGGGUGAAGUCGUAACAAGGUAGCGCUAGGGGAACCUGGCGCUGGAUCACCUCCUUA
rnacentral:rRNA from 1 species